UUUCUCCUUAAAAAUUACAAUUUAAUGAGAGAGCUUAUAAUUUUGUUUUGUAAAUAUUUGAAGUUGAAUAAUGAAUUUGUGAGUUUUGUUUUUGAUUUUUUUUUGCGCUUUUCCUUUUUAUCGAUAUGCUUCCACGUGCAUAGAAAUUUAUUUCUUUUGUUAUUUUCCCAAUAACAGUUAUAAGAGAUAAGAUUCCGAUCAAUGGUGGAAGAAGACAAAAAGAUGAAGAGUAAUAAUUUUAUAAAUAUGGUUAAUCAUUAUAAUUAUAAUGAUCAUUUUGAAGAUGAAGUUGA
rnacentral:lncRNA from 1 species